rnacentral:rRNA from 1 species
UACGUAGGGGGCAAGCGUUGUCCGGAAUCAUUGGGCGUAAAGCGCGUGUAGGCGGCUCGGUAAGUCCGCUCUGAAAGUCCAGGGCUCAACCCUGGGAUGCGGGUGGAUACUGCCGAGCUCGAGUCCGGAAGAGGCGAGUGGAAUUCCUGGUGUAGCGGUGAAAUGCGCAGAUAUCAGGAGGAACACCAAUGGCGAAGGCAGCUCGCUGGGACGUGACUGACGCUGAGACGCGAAAGCGUGGGUAGCAAACAGG